rnacentral:tRNA from 1 species
UGGGUUUUGGCUCAGGGGUAGAGUGCUUGCCUAGCAUGCAUGAGGCACUGUGUUCGAUUCUCAGCACCACAU